UCGGACGGGGUGGAGGUAACGCGUGGGUAACCGGCCCUGUACAGGGGGAGUAACAGUUGGAAACGGGUGCUAAUACCGCAUAAGCGCACGAGAGGACAUCCUCUUGUGUGAAAAACUCCGGUGGUACAGGAUGGGCCCGCGUCUGAUUAGCUGGUUGGCAGGGUAACGGCCUACCAAGGCGACGAUCAGUAGCCGGUCUGAGAGGAUGAACGGCCACAUUGGGACUGAGACACGGCCCAG
rnacentral:rRNA from 1 species